rnacentral:lncRNA from 1 species
CAGGCUAUUAACUAUCAUGAAGCCAAACUCGAGAUUUCCCAGAACUAGAAGAGACUACUCCGAGCUAAUGAGGAGUUUCUUUAGGAAUUAAUAUUGGAAUUAAUUUUAGAAUUUUGUUCAAUUUGUCUUUGGUUAUUUGUUUGGUCGAGAUCUGGAUGUGUUUGAUUUUGGGUUGGAGUUGUGGAUUUUGAAUGUUGGUGGAAAGCAUUGGUUCGUAGUUUGAGUGGUUGACAUAGGUAGCAAGAAUUGAAGAAAGUAUGACAAUUGAAGGUGCAUUUCAUGGUUUUAUCGGUGUGGGUGGUGGUUGUGGUGUGGUGCAUGGUUGGGGUUGAACAAGGCGGAGGAGGUGGCUGGGUUUGCUUACAGGGGUG